GUGUAAGUUUUGUGAACUUUUCUUAGCAAGCUUUGUAAGAGAGCUUAGUGUGUGUGAUUAUUAUACCAUAAAAAUCCAUAGUAGAGUUCUGUGUGAGCAACUGGGUGUACUGGGAUUUUGGGUAUAGAGAGUGCUUGUAUCUCUUAAAUUCUUCAGAAAUAAACCUUUGCAUAGUCUUGGCAAAUUAUUGUGUGUUUCUUUUGUCUUAUUAUUAUUUGUCCAUUGUCUAAUUUCGGCUUCCGCGCGUACCAAAAUCCUAACAGCAUUGUCUUCAGAUUUUUGUGAAACGCUAUCAAUAUGUUUGUUGAUGCUCUGAUAACUUGUCAAACGGGGUGUUCUGUUUGCACCGAAAUCCUUUUCCAGAUUCCACCGAAAAGAGCUCUGAAGUUGUUACAUUGGAAUCAUAGAAAUCUGAAUAUUAUGAUGAUGCAAGAAAUUAGAAGCAACCAGGUGUUCUUCAUGUUUUUCCAUCCAAGGGCUUUACGACAAAGAGAGUAGGACGCCCGUGAUCCUAAUUUGCUUCAGUAUGUAAGGUCAUAGUAUUAUAUAUAUUGUGGCUGAUUUACUCUCUUAUUUUUACCUGUUAAGUAGAUGAUCAUUUGUAUUUAUAAUCAAUGUUUUUUUAGUAACCAUUAUAUUUUCAUUUUUAAUUAAUAGAUGGAAAUAGUAAAAAUUAUAUUUUGAUUAACUAAAUUGUGGGUAAUAAGUAUGAGUACGAGCAUAUAAGUACUCGGAGGGUACGAGGACGGGGAAUCAAGUAUCUACCCAUGGGGGUAUGGGACGAAUAUGAGUUAUUGCAAACGCAAGUACUAGGAUGUUAUAGUAGAUCUUACCCAUUGUCAUCUUUAUUUUGAGGUGCUGUUAUAAUGCUUGCAGAAUUGGCAAUGGAGGUUUUUCUUUUCUUUUCUAAGGGUGUCCUGAAUAUAGUUCAUGGAACCAUGUAUGCUAUCACUUUUUUUAUAAUUAAACUUUAGUUCUUCACUAGUGUCCUGUGAUACUUUCAAAAUAAAGGAACUCAAAUGUUCAUUUGCCAUUUGGUAAUUUCAUAACAUAUUCAAGAUUUAAAUCUUGGCUUUGUAUACAACUGGUGACAUUGUGAUGAUCAAUGCCGUUUGCUGUACUAUGUAUUCUUGUUUAUUGAUGUUCUUAACUAUCCAAUUGAUGAUCAAGGCUAGAAUUAAUACAAUUUCUGAUCUUUUAUAAGUGCUCUUACUAAUAGAGAUAAAUAUGGAUUCUUGCCCCUGUACUUAAAAUUUCAUUGUCAUAUGCUGCCAAUUGGUUGUUCUAAGCUAGGCUACUUCUAGAAUAAGGUUCAGUCCACCAAUGCCCAACACGUGUCAUAAGCACGUAUCCAACAAACGUUACUUCCCCUUGUACCUUCAAUUUCUAGCACAUUAUCAUGCAUGAUUUGCUAAUCUUUAACAGUUUCUGCUUCGUGUUUAAAUUUUCCAGAGCAACCGGGUGUUGUUAAAGUUUUUCCGAGCAGGACCAUUGUGCUAAAGAAGGAAAACCGAGUCAUGUUUCGCCAUGUGCGCAUAUUUCAAUGCUUGCAAGUACAGCUUCCAAAUUAAGCCAAGCAACGCAAGAUAUAGCAACACAGAAGCACAGGAACUUUUAUGGGUGAAAAUGAAUAUUACUAAUGUCCUGGAUGUACUCAAAACUUUAUAGGGACACGCUUGGCAGGUUAGCCUUCAUUGACAUGAUAAAACAUUAAAAAAAGCAUUGGUGUUGAGCUCAACCCUAAAUUAAGUCUUUCUUGUAAUGUGUUUGAAUGACAUUCUACACUCCGCCGUGCAUUCAACAAUCAGCAUACUUGAAUGAUAGAUGUUCUUGAAGAAUUAGUAUUAAUAUCACCCCUUUUUAAUUUUCUCAUCAUCCAAAUUUACUAUACUUAUGAGUGUGGGGAACUAAUUACACCUCGUAAGUGUGAAACACAAAAUUUACAUUUCACAUUUAUAAUGAAUUGAAAGUGUGGAAGAAAAUAAUAUAAAAGGGUGAUGUUAAAAUCAAUUUUCUACGCUUUGCUCACUUUUUUAAAGAACACAAAUGUUCAUCUUUUAGCAUGAGUGGGCUGGGUAUGUAAAAGUGUUAGAAAUAUGACCGUACAAGUCCUUGCAAACAGUAGGAUAAUUCUUAAGGCAUUGCUCCAGUAGUCUCUGAGAAUGAGAGGGCCGGUUUAAUACCCUGUAGUUCAUUUUUUAGACAUUAAAGAACUAAGUUGCAAUUUUAAGAGAUUUAAGACCAUGGUAAGUCAAAGCAAAAGAUAUGAAAUUCUCCUAUUUUAAAAGGGUAUCAAAGAAAUUUUCUAAUUCUUAUUAGCAUGCUGUAUUUAAAGGAGCUGCCAGAAAUCACAAUAAAGAAAAUUAAUUUCCAUGUAGAUUAUAUAUAUAAAUAUUUACUUUUAUUAUUUAUAUUUUUGUCAUCAUUCUUAGUUAGUCCGAAGCAAAUACUUUAAGACUUUUAAGUGAUGCGUCUACGACAUUCUUUUUCUAAAAUAAAUGUAGUUUUGACUUUUAUCAGAAUAUUAAGCAAAUACUUUUAUUAAAAUAUCAAAUGUCCUUCUCUCUCCGGGGAAGAAUAUGCUACUUUUAUAAUUCGAAACUCAGCUUCCUUUUUCUUUCUUUCUUUAAUUUUGGUACAUGAACCCUUCAUUUUCAUGCUUUAUGAUAUUACUUGGUAUAUAAAAUAGAAAAAAAAAAAACUUGGUAUAUAUUAUUCGUGUUGUUAAAAAGACUAGCAGUAAUCUUGCGUAUUGUCAAUCAUGAAAGAACAUGUUUGAUUUUUGGAAGUCUUUCAUUAGUUUUAGCACUUAAGCCCAAUUUGUCAUCACUGAGGCAUCUCGAAUAUCAAUUUUCAACAAUGAAUUGUAUUAGAUAAUAGAGGGGAGUAGUCUUUUGCUUUUGUUCCGAACGUGAACGCCUGCAUGAUCCAUUGAAAAAUAAAAAGAGAAGGGGCAUGAUGCAUGAAGAAAAGGUUCUUGGUUCUCCUUCAUCACUUUUAGAUUAGAGUAGAGUAAUUUUACACUAUGUAAUUUAACUGAUCAUAAGAGAUCAACACAUUUUAAUCAUUAAAAAUUUAUUAUGUAUUACCUUUUUAAAAAAAUGAUGUACUGAACUUGCUAUGACAAUCAAAGCACAUUGUGCAAAUUUACAUCACUUUAAAAGUUGUGCAUAUUAAAUUGACCUCAAGAAAAUUGAGUAUUUGCUCUACAACUUGUUGUUUUGUUUAGUUAGAUUCUGAUUCUAGACUUCCUACAAUAU